UACGAAGGGGGCGAGCGUUGUUCGGAUUACUGGGCGUAAAGGGCGCGCAGGCGGCUCAUUUUGUCAGGCGUGAAAGCCCCGGGCUUAACCUGGGACUGCGUUUGAUACGGAUGGGCUAGAGUUCGGGAGAGGAGAGUGGAAUUCCCAGUGUAGAGGUGAAAUUCGUAGAUAUUGGGAAGAACACCGGUGGCGAAGGCGGCUCUCUGGGCAGUAACUGGACGCUGAGGAGCGAAAGCGUGGGGAGCGAACAGG
rnacentral:rRNA from 1 species